rnacentral:rRNA from 1 species
UCUUGGUCAUUUAGAGGAAGUAAAAGUCGUAACAAGGUUUCCGUAGGUGAACCUGCGGAAGGAUCAUUAAAGAAAUUUAAUAAUUUUGAAAAUGGAUUUUUUUGUUUUGGCAAGAGCAUGAGAGCUUUUACUGGGCAAGAAGACAAGAGAUGGAGAGUCCAGCCGGGCCUGCGCUUAAGUGCGCGGUCUUGCUAGGCUUGUAAGUUUCUUUCUUGCUAUUCCAAACGGUGAGAGAUUUCUGUGCUUUUGUUAUAGGACAAUUAAAACCGUUUCAAUACAACACACUGUGGAGUUUUCAUAUCUUUGCAACUUUUUCUUUGGGCAUUUGAGCAAUCGGGGCCCAGAGGUAACAAACACAAACAAUUUUAUCUAUUCAUUAAAUUUUUGUCAAAAACAAGAAUUUUCGUAACUGGAAAUUUUAAAAUAUUAAAAACUUUCAACAACGGAUCUCUUGGUUCUCGCAUCGAUGAAGAACGCAGCGAAAUGCGAUACGUAAUGUGAAUUGCAGAAUUCCGUGAAUCAUCGAAUCUUUGAACGCACAUUGCGCCCCUUGGUAUUCCAGGGGGCAUGCCUGUUUGAGCGUCAUUUCCUUCUCAAACAUUCUGUUUGGUAGUGAGUGAUACUCUUUGGAGUUAACUUGAAAUUGCUGGCCUUUUCAUUGGAUGUUUUUUUUCCAAAGAGAGGUUUCUCUGCGUGCUUGAGGUAUAAUGCAAGUACGGUCGUUUUAGGUUUUACCAACUGCGGCUAAUCUUUUUUUAUACUGAGCGUAUUGGAACGUUAUCGAUAAGAAGAGAGCGUCUAGGCGAACAAUGUUCUUAAAGUUUGACCUCAAAUCAGGUAGGAGUACCCGCUAAACUUAAGCAUAUCAAUAAGCGGAG